CAAGUUCCCAUAUAAGAAAUAGAAAAACUACAUUAAACAUCUAUCUAAAAUUUUUAUACUAAAAUAAAUAAUCAGUAAAUAUACAAUAUAAAAAUAUAAAUAUUACAUUAAAAAUUUAUCGUAAUAUUAUAAUAAGUAAAUAUGCAAUAUAAGAAAAAAAUAAAUAAUAAGUAAAUAUGCAGUAGAAGAAAUACAAAUAUUACGUUAAAAUAUUAUCUCAAUAUUGUUAUUUAAUAAAAAAAUAAAAAAUAAUAUAAUAAAUAAAUAUACAAUAUAAUAAUAAAAAAAAUUAAGUGUACAGUAUAAGAAAUAAGAAUAUUACAUUAAAUAUCUAGCGUACUAUUAGUAUAAGUAAAUAUACAAUAUAGAUGAAAUAAGGGAUAAUUACAUGUUUACCACUUUCAUGGUACCACUUUUCAUUUUUACCACCACUAAAGAGACAUUUUCAAAAAUAUCUUCUUCAUUAA
rnacentral:lncRNA from 1 species